rnacentral:rRNA from 1 species
CACGUAGGGCGCUAGCGUUGUCCGGAAUUAUUGGGCGUAAAGAGCUCGUAGGCGGCCUGUUGCGUCCGCUGUGAAAGCCCGGGGCUUAACCCCGGGUCUGCAGUGGAUACGGGCAGGCUAGAGGUAGGCAGGGGAGAAUGGAAUUCCCGGUGUAGCGGUGAAAUGCGCAGAUAUCGGGAGGAACACCGGUGGCGAAGGCGGUUCUCUGGGCCUUACCUGACGCUGAGGAGCGAAAGCGUGGGGAGCGAACAGG